GACACAGACAUACCUUUACUUUGGGAUUUUAAACUUUUACAUUUUUUAUGAUUUGAUUUUUUUAUUUCUCAAAUAUUUACAUCUGAGUAACUUUUCACUUCUUUGUAACAAAACUUCAGUCGCUUCCUUUUCACCUACUGAAAAACCGAUGGGACACACUGACCUCACAGUUUUUCAGCUGUCAGUAGAUAAUUUUAUUUUUUCCACUCUGAUGAUCAGAAGAGUGUUUGAGUGUUUCAGAGAUCCUUCAGAAAAACAACCAGGAAAACAUCACAGCAAAGUCUGGACAGAACGUCACUCUGACAUGUCGAGCUCCAAACAACAACAUUGGAGUUAUAGAGUGGAGCAGAGCUGACCUGAAGGAAGAAUAUGUCCUUUUGUACCGAGAUGGACACUUAGAUCCAGAUCACCAGCAUCCAUCUUUUAUGAACCGGGUGGAUCUGCAGGACAAAAAGAUGAAGGAUGGAGACGUGUCUUUGAUUCUGAAAUAUGUGACGAUUAAUGAUACUGGAACAUAUGAGUGUCGUGUCCAGAAAGACGGAGACAGUUUGAAGCACAUCAGCAACAUCACCCUGAGUGUUGAUCCUCCAGGUCAGACAGGAGGAGACACAGAGGAUGGAGGGAAGGAGGCAGGAGGGAAGGAGGAUGGAGUCAGUAGAGGACGUUAUGGGCUGAUAGCUUCUAUUUUGUUACUUCCUGUAUUCAUUGCUGCUCUUGUUGUUGUUGCAAAACUGCAAAGAAGAACAUUAUCCAAGGAUCUUCCUUCUGAUGAACCAGCUGCCAGCUGUUCUGAAACCAUAGUGUCACUGAGAUGAUGCAAACAGCAGCCUCAUUCAACAUUAAGUCUUACAUGGACUGUUACUUAUGUAGCCUCACACACUCUCACACUCAGAUCGAUGAAUCAGGGCAAAUCAGGCUUCUGUAUCUGACACUCCAGAGUCCAGGAAUCAAACCACCAACAUUUCAAUUUGCACAACACCCACUCUACCUCCUCCACAGACCGAAUUGCACAGAACUCUGGUGCAUCUUUACUGAAUAAUCUUUAACUGUGAUUAUUGAAUGAAUGACAUUUUGGAAUUUGUCUUUAUCCUUGAUCCUGGUUGUUGCAGCUCCUCAGUUUGUCUUGAAUAUAAAAUGAAAGCAAACUGUUCUCGCCUUUUGUGAAGCUGAAGAGUCACUGUGAGAGAGAGAGAGACAUAGAGGCUGGAUCUGUUGGACUGAAAGUUGGUCUCUUAGUUUCUGCUAUGGUUUCUGUUGUUGUUGUUGUUGUUGUUGUUGGUUUUCUGAUCUAUAGAAAACAUCAGAAAGGUGUUUUAUAACUGAGCUGUUAAAUCUCACUGUCAUAUGACAUGAUCCUAUGACCCCCUCCGCAAAUUGCUACCUUUUCGUAGUGGAGGGUUUGUGUGUCCCAGGGAUGGAAUCGGGGACUGUGAUUAUUUAAGUUGCUCAGUGUAAGAGUUUAAAUUCUUAAAUUUGAAAAGCAGAAAUUAUCUGCCUGAUUUAUGCCAGAAAUCACUUUUUAUAUAAUUUAUUAAGUUAUUCUUGAGUUCAGUGUCUCGUAUUUUACAGUAUCAUUGAUUGUGUUUUAUCUUCAGGUUCAGCUGUUUGUAGAUCAAACUUGUUCUGUGAGGUUUGAACAGUAUAAAUUAAUCCUCAUCUACAGAUCAGCUGUUACAGUAUAAUUACUGACACUGACUGAACCAAGUGACAACACAAACACUGUAUGUGAUAAAGAAAAGACAAAUUACUGUAGAUUAUAGACGAUCAAUAAUCUGCCCGAUAGUGUUCAGGACUUGUUGAUCAGCUACAGCUGAAUGAAUGUUAUAAUAAACAGUGUUAUGAAACCAAGGAGAGAAAUUAUUUCCAUGUAGCUGCAGAGUCAGAUGUUUCCUCUCCGAUCUGUGAAACUUUGAACUUUUCCUACAGUGAAGGAAAAUCUUCACUCUGUUACUGUCAUGAUCCUGGGUCCGUUUGACCCAGCGUUUUGUGUUUUUCUAUUUAGUGUGAUUUUUGGUUCUGUUCUUUCUCUGUUUAGUGUUUACUCUGUUCGGCCCGUGUGUGUCCUUGUAUGUGUAGUUCCUGUUUUAUUGUGAAGGUCUGUGUCUUAUGUCAGUGUGUUCUGUUUACGUUUUCCCCUGCCUCAUCAGUUGUGAUGUCUUCCAGGUGUGUUCCCCUCCUGUUUCCCUUCCCCUGAUUCCUGGCGUGUGUAUUUAUAGUGUGUGUUACCUCGUCCUCGUGGCUGGUUCGCCUGUGUUGUUUCCCUUCGGUCUCCCUGCGUCUCUCCAUGUGUGUUUCCUCGGACCUCCCUGCAUCUUCGUUUCUGGUUUGUUUUGUUAGUUUAACCCAGUUUAGGUUCCAGUUCCUUGUUCCCAGUGCCUCGUUGUUUGUGUGUCCAUUGUUAAUAAAUUCUCACCUGCACUUGA